AGAGUGGAGGCUUGAAUGGCUUCCAUAAGGCUCAUAUAUUUGAGUGUCGGUCUUUGCAGCUGUAAUACCACCUUUGAUAUUACUACCAAGGUGGGUCACUGUGAUGGUUUGAAUAUUCUUGGCCAGGAAGUGGCAGUAUUAGGAGGUUUUGUUGGUAUAGUUGUGGCCUUGUUGGAGGAAGUGUGUCACUGUGGGAGUGGGCAAUGAGGCCCUGCUCCGAGCUGCCUGGACACAGUCUGCUCCUGGCUUCCUUUGGAUGAAGAUGCGGAACUUCUCCAGCACCAUGCCAGCCUGGACACCUCCAUGCUGCCCACCAUGAUGAUAAUAGACUGAACCUAAGAACCCAUAAGCCAGCCCCAACUAAAUGUUGUGUUUUGUAAGAGUUGCCUUGGUUAUGGUGUCUCUUCACAGCAAUGGAAACCCUAACUAAGACACUGUACUACUGGAUGUGACAAGCAAGAAUGCUAGGUGUUAUAGAGGCUGAACAUACCUGCCCAGUGUACUGAUUCAUUUUUGUGUGUCGACUUGACACAAGCUGGAGUUAUCACAGAGAAAGGAGCCUCCCUUGAGGAAAUGCCUCCAUGAGAUCCAGCUGUAAGGUAUUUUCUCAAUUAGUGAUCAAGGGUGGGAGGUCCACUUGUGGGUGGUGCCAUCCCUGGGCUGGUAGUCCUGGGUUCUAUAAGAAAGCAAGCUGAGCAAGCCAGGGGAAGCAAGCCAGUAAGUAACAUCCCUCCAUGGCCUCUAUAUCAGCUCCUGCUUGAGUUCCAGUCCUGACUUUCUUUGGUGAAAGGUGAAAGUGUAAGCUGAAUAAACCCUUUCCUCCCCAA
rnacentral:lncRNA from 1 species